rnacentral:rRNA from 1 species
AUUGAACGCUGGCGGAAUGCUUUACACAUGCAAGUCGAGCGGCAGCGCGGGGGCAACCCUGGCGGCGAGCGGCGAACGGGUGAGUAAUACAUCGGAACGUGUCCUUAAGUGGGGGAGUAGCUCGGCGAAAGCCGGAUUAAUACCGCAUAAGCUCUGAGGAGGAAAGCGGGGGCGUCCGUAAGGACCUCGCGCUGUUGGAGCGGCCGAUGUCGGAUUAGCUAGUUGGUGGGGUAAAGGCCCACCAAGGCGACGAUCCGUAGCUGGUCUGAGAGGAUGAUCAGCCACACUGGAACUGAGACACGGUCCAGACUCCUAC